GAUGAACGCUGGCGGCGUGCUUAACACAUGCAAGUCGAACGAAACACCUUAUUUGAUUUUCUUCGGAACUGAAGAUUUGGUGAUUGAGUGGCGGACGGGUGAGUAACGCGUGGGUAACCUGCCCUGUACAGGGGGAUAACAGUCAGAAAUGACUGCUAAUACCGCAUAAGACCACAGCACCGCAUGGUGCAGGGGUAACAACUCCGGUGGUACAGGAUGGACCCGCGUCUGAUUAGCUGGUUGGUGAGGUAACGGCUCACCAAGGCGACGAUCAGUAGCCGGCUUGAGAGAGUGAACAGCCACAUUGGGACUGAGACACGGCCCAAACUCCUACGGGAGGCAGCAGUGGGGAAUAUUGCACAAUGGGGGAAACCCUGAUGCAGCGACGCCGCGUGAGUGAAGAAGUAUUUCGGUAUGUAAAGCUCUAUCAGCAGGGAAGAAAAUGACGGUACCUGACUAAGAAGCCCCGGCUAACUACGUG
rnacentral:rRNA from 1 species